UGCGGCUGGAUCACCUCCUUUCU
rnacentral:ncRNA from 6 species